rnacentral:rRNA from 1 species
UACGUAGGGAGCAAGCGUUGUCCGGAAUCAUUGGGCGUAAAGCGCGCGUAGGCGGCCCUGUAAGUCCGCUGUGAAAGUCAAAGGCUCAACCUUUGAAAGCCGGUGGAUACUGCAGGGCUAGAGUCCGGAAGAGGCGAGUGGAAUUCCUGGUGUAGCGGUGGAAUGCGCAGAUAUCAGGAGGAACACCAAUAGCGAAGGCAGCUCGCCGGGACGGUACUGACGCUAAGGCGCGAAAGCGUGGGGAGCGAACAGG